UCACUCUCACCAGUGUUCGCUUCCUGGAUGUUCUGACUAAUUUAAACUAUGGUUAAUUGAAGACUGAAAUAUUCGGGAAACUAUGACAGGAACAAUUUGCUACGGACAGUUUCCACCUGUACUCUCAAGACUUAGAAGCCAUAUGGAUAGAAUGAAAUAGGUGACGAGUGAAUAUUCUCCAGGAUCCCAUCAUUCUCGGCCCAUCUCGCCCAUCUCAAGUCAUUUUUGCCCUCUCCCCACGUGCAGUCAGAAGACUGGAAGUGGAGGUGUGAGCAGUAGAUAGAGCAGUUUAUAAGACAAUGUUAAGACCAUGAUGAAAAGACAUUAGAGGAAGCAGGAAAAAAGAAUAUGCGACACUUAGAACAGGAAUUGGUGGUGUCUUGGAAUAUCUGCUUCAGGACGAUAAUGAAACUAAUGAUUUAGGGCAGUAGAAGAAGCCGUGGGAGGAACUUUCACAUUUGGCGAGGGGUUCCUGAGGACACUGAGAAAGGGAAAUAUAUCAUAUGGCAAUAUUCCAUAAAAUAAAGUGACCACUAAUUGGUCCAGAAGUGGACAUCUGAUAGAGAGAUUAGCCAAUGAGCAGCAAGAGGAGAAGACAGUGUAGAAGCCAAGAGAAGAAGAACGGAAGGGAUUAGGGGCCACAGCCUGAACAGAUCUGGAGCAACCAGGAUUUGCCUUGAAGGAUGGAAUCCCCUCUGCAGUUAUGUUUGCCUGUGCAUCUCCGGCAGCUGGAGGACGAAUCACAUCAGGCUGAUGAGUGUGUCACGCUCCACUGAUCAGUAUAGAGGCUGGGCACCUGCUCUUAGCUGAAAUCAAGGACUAACCUGUGCAUGUGGAUCAAGUUGUAUUGCCUGGCCAGCUGAAGAGAAGAGGACUGAUGAAGGUCCACGGUAGCCUUGAAAACCAACAGCCAUA
rnacentral:lncRNA from 10 species